GUGCAGAAUAAGCACCAGCUGAAUAUCACCAGCUGAAUAAGCACCAGCUGAAUAUCACCAGCUGGUGUACGAACAAAAACACUUUGUAUUGUAAACAAUUUCAAGAGAACCUACAAACAGUGCAUUUCUACGUUAUCGUCAUCUAUGCGCGCAAAUAACACAUAUGACUGAAGUAAACACAUUGUGAAGAAUCUGUUUUGAUUGUUUACCACACAAAAAUUGUGUGUUAGUAGAUCAGCUGGUGAUAUUCAGCUGGUGCUCAUUCUGCACAU